rnacentral:rRNA from 1 species
UACGUAGGGUGCGAGCGUUGUCCGGAAUUAUUGGGCGUAAAGAGCUCGUAGGCGGUCUGUCGCGUCUGCUGUGAAAACCCGAGGCUCAACCUUGGGCUUGCAGUGGGUACGGGCAGACUAGAGUGCGGUAGGGGUGACUGGAAUUCCUGGUGUAGCGGUGGAAUGCGCAGAUAUCAGGAGGAACACCGAUGGCGAAGGCAGGUCACUGGGCCGCAACUGACGCUGAGGAGCGAAAGCAUGGGGAGCAAACAGG